GACCAUGUGGCCUGAUAGAUAUGGUGUCUGAUUCUGGAUCCGAAGAUUAAGAGUUCAAGUCCUUUAAUGGUUG
rfam:Myotis brandtii contig214009, whole genome shotgun sequence.